rnacentral:rRNA from 1 species
GAUGAACGCUGGCGGCGUGCCUAAUACAUGCAAGUCGAGCGAACAGACGAGGAGCUUGCUCCUCUGACGUUAGCGGCGGACGGGUGAGUAACACGUGGAUAACCUACCUAUAAGACUGGGAUAACUUCGGGAAACCGGAGCUAAUACCGGAUAAUAUAUUGAACCGCAUGGUUCAAUAGUGAAAGACGGUAUUGCUGUCACUUAUAGAUGGAUCCGCGCCGCAUUAGCUAGUUGGUAAGGUAACGGCUUACCAAGGCGACGAUGCGUAGCCGACCUGAGAGGGUGAUCGGCCACCCUGGAACUGAGGCACGGUCCAGACUCCUACGGGAGGCAGCAGUAGGGAAUCUUCCGCAAUGGGCGAAAGCCUGACGGAGCAACGCCGCGUGAGUGAUGAAGGUCUUCGGAUCGUAAAACUCUGUUAUUAGGAAAGAACAAAUGUGUAAGUAACUAUGCACGUAUUGACGGUACCUGAUCAGAAAGCCACGGCUAACUACGUG